AAAACAGUAUAUUCUCUCGAGAAUGUUUCUUCUGAGACAUCUAACUAACAAGAGGAGGCCGAAACAAGGGAAUAACAUCAAUAGUAAAAUUGCUUGUUAAAUUGCAAAAUGACAAGAGAAAUUAAAGAAUAGCUUUAAUGGCGGCAUUUUUAGCUAGUAAAUUUGAGAAAGAAAGAAAGGAGGAGAACUUUUUUUUUCUUUACAAAAAAUAAAUAAAUGGUGAAAUACACGAAUUUAGCGCUUGUGUUUCCCACAAAACACAGGAUUGGUAAUAUAUAGUUGGCGUGAAAUUACUCUCCGGGAUCUUCUUUGCUUUCAAUGUCAAAGGCUUCAGAAAUAAGGUCACUCUUUGUGUCACUAGCAUCUGAAGUGAAGUCCAUAAAUCCAGCGACGGGAAAUGAAGCUCCGAAUCUGGACCUCACUAUCACAAAUCUCAACCGUUCGCUUAACCUCUCCGAAACAAUUCCUAGAGUUAGGGUUUUGGACACUGCCCUUUCUGUUAUGUGCUUCACAUCGUCCCAGGUCUUCAAUUGUACAAUUGAGUACUUGGUGAAGACAAUUGCUACAGUGCUAUCUUCUUCAAUUGUAUGCAAGGUUCUCAGAACUGCUGACGGGGAGCUUCUGCAAAUUGGUGGAUUGAUUUCUGGUCAGGAUUGUACCAGAAUAGUUGUAUCUUGUGCUGAUGUUCUGCAGGAACUUGAAAGAUUUCAACCAGAUCUUUCUCCAAUCAUUUUGUAUGCCGUUGUGAGGGUGGCAGUACUAGCAUCACGAGUUCACUAUUUACUGAAAUUGCCUCCUAUGCUUGACCUAAGAUCCAUUGAUCGAAGACACUGUGCUUGGCUAAAACAGUUACGUUGUCAAAAAGAAAUUAACAUUGAGAGUGGAAAAAUACCACUAAGGUUGCUCUCAUGGCAACUAGAUCACAUGCUUCUGAAGUAUGAUGUAUCUCAAGUUUUGCAAGAGUUCAUUAAGAGACCUUUCCUUUGUUUAGAAAUGGAAUUUCAUGAGAGGAAAGAAUGGCGUUCAAUUGUUAUAUGUUUGGUACUUUCUCCUGUCAUGUUUACUGAGACUAGGUCCCUGUUGCAUAACUGGUUUCUUCUGACGGGUUUUUCUUCUAUUCUAGAACUUCAAGUUAAGCUGGUCUCCCUGGUGCUAGAUAUUAUUUCCAGACCAAUGUGGUGGGGCAUAUCAAUGGAUCUUGGAUUAAAACUUCCAUUUUCACAUUCUUACUUUCCAUGCAAGAAGCGGAUUUUGAGGAUUUUGACUGGACCUUUGUCCUUGGAAUCUUUGGAGUUUUUAGUUCAUGAAGUUUGCAAGCCAGGUGACGCAUUUUCAAAGAAAGCUGUGAAUAUUGCCAAAGUAAAUCAGAGUUCUAUUUGGGGAAUUACAGUAACUUUCCCUUCUUGGUUCAUUUUUGCUUCUAUUUUGCUCUUCUCAGAAAAGAGUUUGAGGGACGAGUACUGCUCAAGAUGCAUAUAUGGAGCAGGUAAUCUUAACAAUUCACAGGACGUUAAAGCUCCUUUUCUUGCUACUGCUGCAAAGUUUAUAGCAUGGAGUUUGAACCCUACUGGUGAACCCUACUUGGAACUUUUAGUUGAUUAUCUGACCAAAUUUUCCAAUUUAUGGACUAUGAACAAGUUUGGCUCAGAUGAAGGCAAUGAGACAACUCUUUGUCGCAACAAGGAAGUCGGGGGAUCCCUGUCCUUUAAGAAGGAAAUGGUGAAUAUCCUGGAUUCCAAUUGCCAAGAACUUGCUUUCUGGAUUAAAGAAUUUCAGGAGAUGUACAUUGGGCACUCAAACAAAGUAAAUGAAAGCUUUGCUCCAGAUGAAGAACUAACACCAGGUGUUAGGUUACAGAAGAGCAUGUUGUUUAGGAGGAUACCAAUAGGCAUCUUGUUUGGAAGCUUGAAUCAUAUAAGUGAUGCUGAAUGUGAACUGCUUUUGCAUUAUGGUGCAACUGGUACUCUCAUGCAAUUCACCGGAGGACAACCUAGAAUGAAGGAUAGGAAAUCUAACCAUGAAAGGAAAAAUGGCUUGAUAGCAUGGGCCGAGACAUACACAGGAAAAGAGGCUACAGCAGGAGCGCGUAUUGUCUUUGACAUAACUGAUGUAACUGAAAGUAUAUCAGCUUCUAUGUUUGAAACUGAGGAAUGUGGACUCAAUUUUGUGUGUGACGUUAAACUAAAGGUUGGGACAUAUCUUGUCAAGUGUGUGAACAGGCUACUCCAACUCACACCGGAGAAAAACAGCAUACAGCUGAACAUGAAGGAUCUCUAUGAUAGAAUGCUCAGGUGGAGAAAUCAAGGGAGAGAUGUUUUCCAAAAUUAUUGGGAAUUAGAUGAAAUAAUAGAUGCCUGUGCUUCAGCAGCCUUUUGAAAACCCCGUACAACAUCAAUCGAAUGUGCAAAACUGAAAAAUCGUGGCCCGUAAGAAAUUGUUUUGGUGGCAUGGUUCUGCUUUGUAGAAGUACUAUCCUCAACAGUAGAAGACAGUGGUCAGAUCCUGUGGAGGCCAAGUGAUUGACAGUUGUUACAGGGGUGGACAUCAAUCAUCCUAUUCGUGGCUAGAGUUGCAUUAGUUAUCAAAGAAGUUGGUGACUUCUCAUUCAUCGAGGACAAGACUUUUCUUUCAUGUUUCUUACAUGACUUCAUCUUAUGUUGUGGUGAGAUAGGAUCUUUUCCUAAGCCCCUAUCAAAGUCUAGAAUAAAGGCAUGAUUAUA